GCACCUGCAGCAGUGGCAAUGCUUCAUUUCGGCGCUGAGAGUGAAAGAGUUGGGAUUGGCGAAAAAGACCAAAAAAACAAAAAAAAUCGCUCAGGAAAACAUAGCGCCCUCUAUAAACACCAGAUAACCACCGCCACCAACAGUCAACAGAGAGUAUUAAAAGCAAAAUGUUCAACUAAACAAAGUUUAGGACCCUUAAUUCACCGACUUGUUUGAAGAAUUUUUUUUCUUUUCAAAUACAAAAUGCUUAUAUUCGAAUAAUCGCGUUGUUUUAUUAGGGUUUGCUCUCUUUGUUUCAAGCUUACAAAUCAAUGGCUGAUGCUAAACGACAAGUUGAUAGUGAUCCAGAGGAUUCGGGCCCGCAUUGGGCGAUGCGGAGACGGAAAGCAAGUGAUGAUGAUGACGAUAGAACCAGCGAAGAAGAAGAAAGGGAUGUACGGACUGAUGGGAGAGUUUUUGCGGGUUUUGAUGAUGAAUUGGACGGUGUAGGUGGAGCGCCGGAGAAUGAGGAUGAUGAGGAGAUCUCACAUUUCAAUGAACUUGAAGUUGUUGGAGAGGAAGAGCAGGUGCUUGUUUUGGAAGACGAAGAAGAUGAGGGUUUCAAAAGAGACGAGGAUGAGCGUGAUGAGGAGGAGAAGAAGGAGAAGGAGAAAAAGGCGCUUAUAGUUCCGAGAAUGGGUGCAUUCUACAUGCACGAUGACCGGUUUGAAGGCAAUAGCAGUGGACGAAGGAUGACUUCUGGCGGAAGAAACUUGUGGGAAUUCAAAGAUGAAAGAAAAUGGCAACACGACAAGUUUGAAGAGAUGACCCUGCAGGAAUCAGAGAACAAAAAAUUUAAUGCCUACACCAAGGUACAGAGGAACUCUGAUGCAUAUCAUCAGGGAUACUACGGAAAUCCUGGCCAUAGUGUUAAAGCCAACCAUGUUAAACCCAAUAACAAUCAAAGCCUCUCAUCAAGAACUAUAAGAGGGAGAGGGCCUGUAAAGUAUAAGCCUCUUAAAAGCAGCAAUGAUUUAGAUCCACUAACUGGAAAUAUGGAAUUCAGAAAGCCCCCUGGUAUAAACUCAAAUGCUUAUUCAGCGAGAACGUCACACACUUCAAAGGUAGAUUCUGAUUCACUUGCCCCUAAAAAGAAGCAUCAUCAUGUGAGUUCUUCCAAUCCUGACAUCAUUGUGGCAAAGAGGAGGGAGGUACAACCAAGAAGAACAAGACGUUAUUUUCCAACUACUGCACUUCCAGGUGACAACAUAUGUGUGCUGCAUUACAAUGCAUAUCUACAGCAGAAGAGUGUCGCUGAUUCUAUUGGGAGGGACAGGCUUUAUACUCAGGAGUGCAUCCAUCCAGUUGUUGAACAUCAUUUUGCCAAUCUGCCCUUUCAGUCUUCUGUCCAGUCAAGGAAUUUUCCUCUCCUUGCACUGAUAACUCAUCAAUCACCUACAUCUUCUAACAAAGUUGAUAUAGUUUCUGUGCCUAACCAUGUUCAACAAGCCCCUCAUGGAAGCAUAGUUUAUUGUCCUUUACAAGCUUAUACUCAGCAAUUGAUCUCACAUUCUAGGAUUCGGUCUCAGGCUUCAUUUAAAGCUUCUUCACCAAGUGAAUCAGAUGUUGGCAUGAUCGAAUCAUUUGCUAAAUCAAAUAAAUCAGAAAUUGCAUGGGUUGGAGAUCAGAACUUUACCACUACAACAUGGCAUUUGCCUGGCAUGCAGUUUAGUGGCAAGCAUCUUGGUGAACUUAGUGAGCAUGCUGUUGACAGGGCUGUCGCCAGAUAUAUGUCUCAACCCCAAGUUAGUUUUGGAAAUUCUGGGAUGACUUGUGAUGGAGCAAGUGCAAGUAAAGUCACCAAGGUAAAUAGAGCUCCAGAUGGAACUGAAUUUAUGAAUCAUCGAUAUGGGUUGCAAAGGAUCAAGCUGCAAAGAUAUUCAAAGAUGAAGUUUAACAGCUAAAGUGAAUUGAUUAGGUCAUUUGUAAAGAGCAGUCUUAACUACAAACUACAGGCUACAGUCUGCAAUUUCUUCAUUCACUGCAAUGCAUCACUGCCUGCCUGCUCAAGUUGCAUUUUGGUGCUUGCGAACCAUAAGUGAUUUGAGAAAAGCAUUUAGAGCUUCACAAGUGGCGGUUACUGGACAAUUGUUUCCUGACUGGAGCAAAUAUACUGUAGGGAACUCCUAUUUCAUAUUGCAUAGCCAAUGCCAAUCCCCUUGGUGGUAUAAAGUGGAGGACAUGUGAGAGAGCCAGCCAUAUCCAUGUGAUGUUUUCAACUUCCAUCAUCAAGUCUUUGGCUUAGUUUAAUUCCUUUACCAAAUCUCCCUGCAGAAAAUCAUCAUGCAUCAUCAUCAAUUUUAAAAUCUUUUUUUUUUUUUUUUAAAUAAAUGCCUGAUGCCUCUUCAUGCUUGGUUAUAACAUUGCCUAUUCAAUAAAAUGAGAAACAUUUUUAUUACAAUGAUAUUA